ACAAACUUGGUCAUUUAGAGGAAGUAAAAGUCGUAACAAGGUCUCCGUUGGUGAACCAGCGGAGGGAUCAUUACUGAGUUGCUAAACUCCGAACCCUUUGUGAACCUUACCGCAGUUGCCUCGGCGUGAGCCGCGCCUACCCCGCGCCUACCCUGUAGGCGGGAGGGGGGCGCGCACGGCCCGCCGCAGGACCGCUAAACUCUAUUUUAACGUCGAGUAUUUCUGAAUGCUUCAACUGAAAUAAGUUUAAAACUUUCAACAACGGAUCUCUUGGUUCUGGCAUCGAUGAAGAACGCAGC
rnacentral:misc_RNA from 1 species